CCGCACGGUGAGUAACACGUAUGCAAUCCACCUGUAACAGGGGGAUAACCCGGAGAAAUCCGGACUAAUACCCCAUAAUAUGGGCGCUCCGCAUGGAGAGCCCAUUAAAGAGAGCAAUUUUGGUUACAGACGAGCAUGCGCUCCAUUAGCCAGUUGGCGGGGUAACGGCCCACCAAGGCGACGAUGGAUAGGGGUUCUGAGAGGAAGGUCCCCCACAUUGGAACUGAGACACGGUCCAA
rnacentral:rRNA from 1 species